UACGAGGGGGGCAAGCGUUGUUCGGAAUUAUUGGGCGUAAAGGGUGCGUAGGCGGUUUGGUAAGUCUUAUGUGAAAUCUACAGGCUCAACUUGUAGUCUGCAUGAGAAACUGCCGGGCUUGAGUAUGGGAGAGGUGAGUGGAAUUCCUGGUGUAGCGGUGAAAUGCGUAGAUAUCAGGAGGAACACCUGUGGCGAAAGCGGCUCACUGGACCAUAACUGACGCUGAUGCACGAAAAGCUAGGGGGAGCAAACAGG
rnacentral:rRNA from 1 species